UACGUAGGUGGCAAGCGUUGUCCGGAUUUACUGGGCGUAAAGAGCGCGCAGGCGGUCGUCCAAGUCGCGUGUGAAAGCCCCCGGCUCAACUGGGGAGGGUCACGCGAUACUGGUCGACUCGAAGGCAGGAGAGGGUAGUGGAAUUCCCGGUGUAGUGGUGAAAUGCGUAGAUAUCGGGAGGAACACCAGUGGCGAAGGCAGCUCUCUGGGACGGUACUGACACUGAGACGCGAAAGCGUGGGGAGCGAACAGG
rnacentral:rRNA from 1 species